rnacentral:rRNA from 1 species
GACGAACGCUGGCGGCGUGCUUAACACAUGCAAGUCGAACGGUAAGGCCCUUCGGAGUACACGAGUGGCGAACGGGUGAGUAACACGUGGGUGAUCUGCCCUGCACUUCGGGAUAAGCCUGGGAAACUGGGUCUAAUACCGGAUAGGACCACUGCCUGCAUGGGUGGUGGUGGAAAGCUUUUGCGGUGUGGGAUGGGCCCGCGGCCUAUCAGCUUGUUGGUGGGGUGAUGGCCUACCAAGGCGACGACGGGUAGCCGGCCUGGGAGGGUGACCGGCCACACUGGGACGGGGAUACGGCCCAGACUCCUACGGGAGGCAGCAGUGGGGAAUAUUGCACAAUGGGCGCAAGCCUGAUGCAGCGACGCCGCGUGAGGGAUGACGGCCUUCGGGUUGUAAACCUCUUUCAGCACCGACGAAGCGCAAGUGACGGUAGGUGCAGAAGAAGGACCGGCCAACUACGUGCCAGCAGCCGCCGUAA